CCGCCCGUUCGCGCUGCCAGCAGCUUCCGCCUGCUACGGUCCUGGCAAGCACCUCGGGAUCCCAUUCCUUCACAGGGACCCUAGCCAGUUAAAGCUGAUACAUUCCUGUGGGUCAACUAUGCAACUAACUCAGAUUUUGAGCAAACAAAGCUCUCAAGUUGGUGAUCCUCAGGAGUCUCUGCAUUAGUUGGACAGCUCUUCUGGAAUUAUCUUCUAAGUCAACUGUGGGUUGGGUAGGUGGCUCUGCUGAUUUUUCGCUGGACUUCCACAUUUGGGACGAGUUGGCUGUCAUCAGCUCUAGAAAGGGUGUGGCCGUUUUACAUUGGCUGUUUUCCUCACAUUCCUCAAGCAGGUACUGUAAUAAAGAACUGGAGAAAUACAGUCAGAUGGGAAGUAGCCCUUGCUGUCAAGGAGCUUGCCAUCUAAUGGGGGAGACAGGCAAGUAAACCAAAGACUACACAGUGCAGUAUGGUAAGUGCCAUGAUUUUGAUGUGACAGGGCACAGUGGACGACCUUCCAAAUCAAAGCAAGUAACUAGGGGUUGACAAUGGUAAGUAUCAUAGUUGAAGUAUCCUUGAACAAGGUUUCAGGAAGAAGAAGAAGGGAAUUUCAUGCAGGGAAACAGCCAAAGCUCAGUGAGUCAAAAUAUCACAGCAUUCUUGGUAAGCCCAAUUGUUUUUUCUGUUUUGCUAUUUUGGUGGAGAGAAAGGAACACAUAAAGGAAUAACAUGAGAGAAGGCUAUUUGGGGAAGUGUAGUAGUUAAGGUUCUGGCUCAAACAACAACUGCAGCUCAUAAAGUUGACUUUAGUGGAAGGAUACUGGGGUAUCUCAUGGAAUCUUGGGAACUGUUGAAUAACCAGGGAAACUCUGGGAAACUCACUGGUAGGAAUCCAUAAACUGUCCUCCUGGUGGGCUGUAAACAACUCACCCUCUAUGCAUCUCACAUCAAAAUUCCAGUUUCUUGGGAAAACAAGUCUGUUUGCCCAAUUUGGGUCAUAUUUCCACGUCCAUGUUACUCAGGCAUGAUUCAUCUGCAAGUUAUGUGUAUAGAUAUUUUGCUACUGUUCCACCCUUACGCUGUGCUGGGGAGGGAGGUGUCACUGUGAGCUGUGUCGGUGCCUUAAGAGAUAUCUGUUGUGUCUUAUUACUUGGUUGCUUUUCCCCACAUGUACAAUGACAAAAAUGCCUUCAACCUAUUUGAUCCAGCCGUUCCAGUACAACUCCUAUACUUGCCAUCUUUCCAAGCCCAAAGGUACAUCCAGCUGAUGGAAGGAGCAUCUUGGUGUUAAUAUUCUUUUAGUCAUGGUCUCUGAAAGUAAAAUGUCUAUUCUUCUAAUUCUGGCACAAUCUUAUCUAGCUAUAGUUCCUCAUGGUCCUGCACUCCAUGGACUAAAUUGUAAGUAUAAUUACUACCAAUGUACUCUAUAAAUAACUUUUGGGGCCAGGGUGGCAAUAGUUGCUAGAGAGAAAAAAAAAAAAAAGGAAGGAGAAGAAAACAGUGAUAGUUCUUAUUUUAAAAGGAAAAAAAGAGGCAGGAGGCUCUCUUGAGGCCAGGAGUUUAAGACCAGCCUAGGCAGCAUUUCAAGACCCUGUCUCUACUAAAAAGUAAAAAAAAAAUUUAGUCAGGCAUGGUGGCAUGCACCUGUAGUCGUAGCUACUCAGGAGACUGAGGUGGGAGGAUUGAUUGAGCUCAGGAGUUUGAGGCUGCAGUGAGCAAUCAUCAUGCCAUUGCACUCCAGCCUGGGCAUCAGAGCAAGACCUUGUCUUUUAGGAAAAAAAGGCAGGGAAGAGGAAUAGGUAAUUUUUCAGUGUUCAGACAUUCCAGCAAUAUGUGUGGAGUACUCAUUCUCACUACAGUUUAUGAGGCCAUAGCUAGUAUGUAUGACUACCCAUCCAAGUUUCCCUGCUUACAGUUACUAUUCCAACUGAUUGGGGGGCUUUUCCUAAUAGAGUGAUUUAAGCCUUCAUUUUUAGACAUCUAAGCCCUUGGUGAUCAUCAGCAUAAAAUGUGACAAAUUAAACAAAAGCAAGACAGCACAUCAGAGAACAACUCUGAGGUGGAAUGAUUGGGAACCAAUGAAUAGUUGUUCAGUAAAUGGUUUAUAUUUUACAGAUGAUGAAACUGAAACACAAAAAAUUUAGAUUAACUCUUAGGUGACAAAGCCAGGAUUGAAGCUCAUGCGGUCUGGCUCCAGAACAACUCUUCUUCAUAGUUACGUUAUACUGCCCCUGCAUUGUUGGUAUUGAAAAUAACUGAUACCGUGCUUCCAGAAGAUUUUUCUAACAGUGUUUGCAAGCUAUAAAAUAGUGCUUUCACUUAGAAAAGGCUAGACGUGGUGGUUCAUGCCUGUAAUCCCAGCACUUUGAGAGGCCGAGGCACCAUGCUGGGAGAUAAGGAUCCAACAUAAGACAAACAGUGCUGAUGCUUUUGGAAAGCUCAUAUUCAAGCUGGGGAGACAAACAACAUACAAUUGCUGAACAGAAGACUUUUGAGAGUCAGCAGAAAUCUUCCACUUUGCAUGGUUCUCUUGAUGUGAAAUCAUCUAUAUAGCCCCAGAAUUGGAAAAG
rnacentral:lncRNA from 1 species